GCCUUCUAUCCGAGUUAGUAUUUUGGUUGGGGUUAGCGCUAACCCACCUUUUCAACUACCAUCAAGGAGACCUACGAGACUCUAUGGAGGAACCUGGUGUGCCCCGACUCCUACACAGACGUCAAAAUCAGGUCACAACCUACCACUGGAGUACGGCUCAGGAUGUGUAGCAGACUCAGAUAGGGCUGCCGACAUUCUCAAACGGGACAACACAUGUUUCAGAC